CCUAGUCGCCGAUCGCAAUCCCAAAUCUUGCCAUCUCGAUUUCGAAGUGGCAUUGCCGUCUCAUUUUCAAUGACAGCCCAUAGGCCCUCAUGCCACGUUUCUUCACCCUCUAGAAAUUUCUCUUUCCGGAUGUCGAUUCGAUACAGAGACAAGGAAAGAAUGAAGAGGAAAGCUAAAGAGAAACAAGAGAGAGCAAUCAAUAAUGGUUAUUCUCUCCUCACAUCCAAUCACUUUCUUCAGAGAGCAGAACAGAACACCAGAGCAAAUGAAGAGUAGAGCAUAUACUUGAUCCAUGCUUAAAACCCAAUUUGCAAAAUAGGCAGAAGAGAUGCUGUUUGGCCUUUCUUCUCCGCUGUUGACAGUUUUGCCAUCUUCAG